rnacentral:rRNA from 1 species
CCAAUAGCGUAUAUUAAAGUUGUUGCAGUUAAAAAGCUCGUAGUUGAAUUUCGGGGUCAGUAGGUCGGUCGUGCCACUGGUAUGAACUGGUUUUACUGAUUCCUCCCUCUUGAAGAACUGUAAUGCAAUUAAUUUGGUGUUGCAGGGAAUCAGGACUGUUACUUUGAAAAAAUUAGAGUGUUUAAAGCAGGCUUUAGCUUGAAUACAUUAGCAUGGAAUAAUGAAAUAGGACGUUUGAUCCUAUUUUGUUGGUUUCUAGGAUUGACGUAAUGAUUAAUAGGGAUAGUUGGGGGCAUUAGUAUUCAAUUGUCAGAGGUGAAAUUCUUGGAUUUAUUGAAGACUAACUACUGCGAAAGCAUUUGCCAAGGAUGUUUUCAUUAAUCAAGAACGAAAGUUAGGGGAUCGAAGACGAUCAGAUACCGUCGUAGUCUUAACCAUAAACUAUGCCGACUAGGGAUCGGAUGAUGUUAAUUUUUUAAUGACUCAUUCGGCGCCUUACG